AUGCACAUACUUGCCCUCUGGGUUGUUUGUGGAACUUGUCUGACAGACCCCAGUCAUGGAGAUUCUGUCACUCAGACGGUGUCCUCAGAAGUGAAGACAGAAGGAGAGGAGGUGACUUUCAGCUGCAUCUAUGAUACUACAGCGAGCGACUACUCUGUAUAUUGGUACCGGCAACGGUCAGACACAAGACCUGAGUUCAUACUGCGUGAAGGUUCAAGUGGAGCUGAAAAUGCAGAUUUUGCCCAAACUCGCUUCGCCGGCCACCUCAAGAUGGAAAGUAAAUUCACCAGUUUGAACAUCGCAUCUCUGCAGCUGAGAGACUCUGCAGUUUAUUACUGCGUCUUCCGCCGCACAGUGAUGUAA